rnacentral:rRNA from 1 species
GUAGGUGGCAAGCGUUGUCCGGAAUUAUUGGGCGUAAAGCGCGCGCAGGCGGUUCUUUAAGUCUGAUGUGAAAGCCCACGGCUCAACCGUGGAGGGUCAUUGGAAACUGGAGAACUUGAGUACAGAAGAGGAAAGCGGAAUUCCACGUGUAGCGGUGAAAUGCGUAGAGAUGUGGAGGAACACCAGUGGCGAAGGCGGCUUUUCUGGUCUGUAACUGACGCUGAGGCGCGAAAGCGUGGGGAGCAAACAGGGAUUAGGAUACCCUGGUAGUCCACGCCGUAAACGAUGAGUGCUAAGUGUUAGGGGGUUUCCGCCCCUUAGUGCUGCAGCUAACGCAUUAAGCACUCCGCCUGGGGAUACGGCCGCAAGGCUG